rnacentral:lncRNA from 1 species
AGUCCUCUCCACCCCAAGGUAGGCAGCUUCCCGCUCCUCGUCUUGGGACCUAAACCCAGGAAGUCAAAUGUCCUUUUCUAGCAGGUCGCCUGGUUAGAGGCCGUGGACGAAGCGGUCCAGGCACAGCCAGCUGCAGGGCGCGGCCUCGGCGGCGCUGCUCGUGGCCCUGGUCAGUGAGCGCACUCACUCCUGGACUAAGCUCUAUGCAACUCAUUUUCAUCUAGCAUUACCUCUCCAAAACCUGAAUCUCCACAAGAAAGCCACACAGCAAUUAACCAGUGUUGCAAGAACUGCUUCUGUAAUAAAGGUGGGAAGACAAAUUGAUGCAACCCUCUUGAAAAGCAAUCUGGCAAUAUGAACCAAGAGCCAUGAAAAGGCUUAUGCUAUUAUAAUUAAAUGGCUGUAAUGUUGGCUGUAAAUAUGAAAUUUUCUUUCACACACCAAUGUUUUCAAGAAUGGCAUAUUCACAUGCAGUAUGUGAUGAGAAAAUUGAAGCCAACAGAAGUUAACUAACUUGCCUAAAAUAACACAGCUGUGGCAAAUUAGGACCAGAACCAAGGUCUCCUGACCUAAGUGCUACUCCCACCAUACUACAUGAUCUGCUGUUUAAAAUUUUGCAAAUCCAUCGCUGGUAAGGAGAUGGAAAAUAAGAAAGAAGGAGAGAGAAAACAACCACAUGGAAAAGCUCUCCAGGAAGAGAAUCAAUAGGGUUUUUCAGCUGCUUCAAAAAAGCAUCUAUAGCAUCCUGUGCAAGCUGGAGUGGUUGCUGAAGCUAAUGGUAUCCCAUUGUAUCAAGGAUGUACCACAGUUGGUUUAUCCAUAUACACCUGUUUAUGGAUAUCUGGGUUGUUUCUAGUUUUGGUUAUUACAUUUCAAGCUGCUGUGAGUAUUCCCAUA